rnacentral:lncRNA from 1 species
UUCUGUUGCUUAUGCUCACAUCUAUGGUUCCAGAUCUCUUUCUUAGGGUUUCUAUCUCCAGCGUUGCCUCACUUUGGGUUUUCUUUAUUGUGUCUACUUCUCUUUUUAGUUCUAGUAUGGUUUUGUUCAUUUCCAUCACCUGUUUGGAUGUGUUUUCCUGUUUUUCUUUAAGGACUUCUGUUUGGUUGUGUUUUCCUGUUUUUCUUUAAGGACCUGUAAUCUUUAGCAGUGCUCUCCUGUAUUUCUUUAAGUGAGUUAUGAAAGUCCUUCUUGAUGUCCUCUACCAUCAUCAUGAGAUAUGUUUUUAAAUCUGGGUCUAAAUUUUUGGUUGUGUUGGGGUGCCCAGGACUAGGUGGGGUGGGAGUGCUGCGUUCUGAUGAUGGUGAGUGGUCUUGAUUUCUGUUAGUAGGAUUCUUACGUUUGCCUUUCGCCAUCUGGUAAUCUCUGAAGCUAGCUGUUAUAGUUGUCUCUGGUUAGGGCUUGUUCCUCAGGUGACUCUGUUAUCCUCUAUAAGCAGACCUGGGAGGCUAGUUCUCUCCUUAGUUUCAGUGGUCAGAGUAUUCUCUGCAGGCAAGCUCUCUUCUUGCAGGGAAGGUGCCCAGAUAUUUGGUGUUCGAAACUGCCUCCUGGCAGAAGUUGUGUUCCACUCACCAGAGGUCUUAGGAUCCCGUGUGGAAUCCUGUGUGGGCCCUUGCGGGUGUCGGGUGACUCCGCUGGCAUGGCACCCCGGUGCUCGAGUGGACUGGAAGGCUGAAUGAAAUUUCUCAAAGCGAGCAUCAGACUUAUAUUACAGAAGAAAACAAAGAAGUCAGGUGACACAUCAGCCAAGGUACAUUGAAGUUAUCCUAUGCAUAAUGACACAAAACAGAGAAAUGCAUACAUAAAGGAACCAGGCAGUGAUUACAACUGAGAUAAAAAGCAGCCCUAUCUAAAAUCAGCUAUUCUAGGAGCCAGGUGAGGAUUUUGCACACUAGUCACAAUUUAUGCUAUUCCUUUGCGCCUUAUGCAAUUUGUGAUAUUCCCCUGAACAGAGCACCAGGGGGUUCUGCUCUUGUUAACCUUUUCAUGAAUAAUGCAAUACUCUAGUUCUUCCUUAAACCACAACCCUCCUUCUUCUUAGACCUUUGUAAAUUCCUGAAUAUGGGAGUGACUCAGCUGUUAUUUUAAGUAUCCAUAGGGAACCUCCAUUUGUCAGAGGAACUCACCAACUUUCUUCUAAUAUGUAAUGUAGUCUGCCAUACCUGACUGUAAUGAGAAUUCUAAGUUUACUUUGUUGAAGUAGCCCUGAGAUUGCUAGCUCUUAUCCAGUAAAAUACUGAAAGAAAGCAUGCAAGACCCUCCACACUAUCGCAAGGACAAAUCUGAAACACAUCUCUGUUAUGGGAUGACAAAGACUCUCCAGGAGACCAGUUUCCAUGAAACUUUGUGCCUCAGGACUGCGGCCAAGCUUUUGGACUUGCCACAAAGACUCCACUGGAGUGGGUGUGCCACUGACAUCCUUGGUCUCUGUGUUCUGAACCUGUUGACUGACUGAGCGGGCUUGGUCACUUGUCACAGACAGAAAUGCAGCUCUUCUCGGAGUGUUCAAUACAGAUCAUGAACCAUCUGCCCUAGCUUCUUCCCAGGUUGCAGAUUUAUCCGAGGAGUUUUGCAAAUUCCGCAGCUCUUGGUCUCUCCACUGAUCACGCACAUCAGGACAAUGGGACGUUUCUCUAAUGGUUAUUUGAAGCAACCCCAUAAAUCAGUGUGUCAAAGACCUAGAAGCAGGACGGGUCCUCUGGAAGCGCUGCUUGAUCUCACACUGGCCCACACUGAUUCCUUACGUGGUUUCAGAGGAUUUGGAUAAAAGGACUCCUGUGGACCCCUACAUUGGUGGCUUAACACUUGACUGUUCAACG